GGAGGUAGUGACAAUAAAUCACAAUGCGGAACUAUUAGUUUUGCAAUUGGAUUGAGAACAACGUACAAACCUUAUCGAUAAACAAUUGGAGGGCAAGUCUGGUGCCAGCAGCCGCGGUAAUUCCAGCUCCAAUAGCGUAUAUUAACGUUGUUGCAGUUAAAAAGCUCGUAGUUGAAGUGAAGUGAACAAAGAAGAGAAGAAUCUUCGGAUUCGGAUCUAAUGCGUUGACUCUUUCCAAAGUCAAUGUAUGGGUAUUCAUUUAUCUAUAUAUUGUGUUUGGUCGUUUACUGUGAGAAAAUUAGAGUGUUCAAAGCAGACGUUUGUUUGAAUACAUUAGCAUGGAAUAAUCAGAUAAGGCUUUCAUGUGUAUUUGAUUGGUUUGGAUAUGAAAGCAAGGUUAAUAGGGACAGUUGGGGGUAUUCAUAUUCAAUAGUCAGAGGUGAAAUUCUCGGAUUUAUGGAAGAUGAACAAGUGCGAAAGCA
rnacentral:rRNA from 1 species